rnacentral:rRNA from 1 species
CAGUCGCCGCGGUAAUACGUAGGGUGCAAGCGUUAUCCGGAAUUAUUGGGCGUAAAGAGCUCGUAGGCGGUUUGUCGCGUCUGCUGUGAAAACUGGAGGCUCAACCUCCAGCCUGCAGUGGGUACGGGCAGACUAGAGUGCGGUAGGGGAGAUUGGAAUUCCUGGUGUAGCGGUGGAAUGCGCAGAUAUCAGGAGGAACACCGAUGGCGAAGGCAGAUCUCUGGGCCGUAACUGACGCUGAGGAGCGAAAGCGUGGGGAGCGAACAGGAUUAGAUACCCCUGUAGUCCCUGUCUCUUAUAC